AAGUUAAGCAUCAUUGGGCGCGGUCAGUACUUGGGUGGGUGACCACCUGGGAACACUGCGUGCCGUU